GCCGGGAAAGUGGUGACUGGUGCUCUGUGAUGCAGAUUAUGGCUACGCUACUCAAUGAUCUUGCUUCUGAAGUCGGUGAAUUUCGAUUCUGAACGCUGCCAGGAAAGGCGCUCCCUCUCGUAGUCGAGUAUUUCACCAGCCUCGAAUUUGAGCUUCAAACUGUCAAUCGAUCGAUGGAGCUGAUUGAGCAACAAUGCUUCCCGUCUUUCACCACCAUUCCUUGUCAAACCCAUCGAGAUCGCUCCA